UACGUAGGGGGCGAGCGUUGUCCGGAUUUAUUGGGCGUAAAGAGCUCGUAGGCGGUUCGAUAAGUCGGACGUGAAAUCUCCACGCUCAACGUGGAGGGGCCGUUCGAUACUGUCGUGACUCGAGUCCGGUAGGGGAGUGUGGAAUUCCCGGUGAGCGGUGAAAUGCGCAGAGAAUCGGGAGGAACACCCGUAGCGAAGGCGGCAC
rnacentral:rRNA from 1 species